AUGCCUUACCCAUUGCCACCGGAUUUGAUCGAUCUAUCGAUCCAGAUCGGGGUCCGGAUUCGCACCCUUGAUUCGCCGUGGUCACUCGGCCAUGCUGUCGCCGGAGUCCAAGGGAGCGCGCCGCAGGGGAUAUGCUUGGGUGGAUGGCUGGGCGGGGAGGCGGCGCGUCGGGAGAGCGUGAGGGCGGCGGCGUGGAAGGAGCAGGCGGCGGCGGCAGGGCAGGGAGGAGAAUUGGGACGCGAUGGUGGGAAGCGGGGGAGAGGCCGUGGCCGCUCACUGCAGGGCUGGCUCAAAUAUUAUUUUUGCCUCCACCUAGCUGGCACGCUUAAGAGUUUGAGCCGUACUUUUUUGUUCUUAUUUCUUAGAAACACAUGUAACUUUAUUUAUACCCGCGAUCAUUUUUUUUUACAGGUACACUACUUUCUUAGUUUCAUUUCAUAA
rnacentral:rRNA from 1 species